GACGUAGGAUGCAAGCGUUGUCCGGAAUUAUUGGGCGUAAAGAGUUCGUAGGCGGUUUAUCAAGUCUGGUGUCAAAGCCCGAGGCUCAACCUCGGAUCGGCACUGGAUACUGGUAGACUUGAGUGCAGUAGAGGCAAGGGGAAUUCCCAGUGUAGCGGUGGAAUGCGUAGAUAUUGGGAGGAACCCCAGUGGCGUAAGCGCCUUGCUGGGCUGUUACUGACGCUGAGGAACGAAAGCCAGGGGAGCUCAUGGG
rnacentral:rRNA from 1 species